UACGUAGGGUGCGAGCGUUAAUCGGAAUUACUGGGCGUAAAGCGUGCGCAGGCGGCUUUGCAAGACAGAUGUGAAAUCCCCGGGCUCAACCGGGGAACUGCAUUUGUGACUGCAAGGCUAGAGUACGGCAGAGGGGGAUGGAAUUCCGCGUGUAGCAGUGAAAUGCGUAGAUAUGCGGAGGAACACCAAUGGCGAAGGCAAUCCCCUGGGCCUGUACUGACGCUCAUGCACGAAAGCGUGGGGAGCAAACAGA
rnacentral:rRNA from 1 species